CAUAGAUUAGUGAUCCUCGUCACAAGAGGGUUACAAGGAAAGGACGCAGGAGCGUCAAGUGGACAAGCGAGUGGCGAACCACGUUUGAAGGGCCUACUUUGAAGUUUCUAGGUGUUGCAAAUCUACGGAUGGCGAUCAAGCAACUUGUUGAAGAACCGAACACUACUUUUGAAGCUUCCGCUAUUUCAUAACUUUGUUAAACAAUGUUACUAUUCCUUUUGAAUAUAAAUUAGGUCGGGAAUGUUUUAACUAGUCGGUUCUUGACUAGUUUUGAUUACUUCAAACUUUGUUUUGGUACUAUGUUUUGACUUAGGUACCUUUUAUAUAAAUCCUAUGAAUUUUUAUUAAAUUCAAGUAAUAAAUAGAUGGGUGUUACAAGUUGGUAAUCAGAGCUUAAGGUUGUCAACAAAGUGUUCGGUUCAAGCUUGA